AAAAGAUUCUCCAAAGGAGUGGGAUUCCCUACUUGAAGAGGAGAAGAUGACGUAUCAAAAGAAAGCCAUGGAGAGAGUUGCAUCCAUUAUGAAAGGUCUGGAGAUAUAUAACAAGCUGGGGGUUGAAGCUGCGGACUUAGAAGCAGCUAAAUGAUCCAGCAAGAAUUUUUGGUACAUUUUUAGAAAUUUAUCUGCUGUUAAGGUGGCCCGAGAAAUUAUGUGGACCCUGUCCUUUUACGAAGAUCCAGAGGUUGACCUCUCCAGUUGUUUCGGCCAACCAACUCUUUCCAUGUCUUUCGUCUUGAAAUUUGGUUUUAUUAACUCCUUCCAUGUCUUUCGUCUUGAAAUUUGGUUUUAUUAUGUGUUUUUGACUUAGUCUUGCCCUCUUCUGGCCAAGGCUUAUCUGAUUUUCUACGUUGGAGAUGUCUAGUAA